rnacentral:rRNA from 1 species
UACGGGGGGGGCAAGCGUUGUUCGGAAUUACUGGGCGUAAAGGGUGCGUAGGCGGCUUUCUAAGUUGGAUGUGAAAACUAUGGGCUCAACCCAUAGCCUGCAUCCAAAACUGGAGAGCUUGGGUUCUGGAGGGGAAAGCGGAAUUCCUGGUGUAGCGGUGAAAUGCGCAGAUAUCAGGAGGAACACCGGUGGCGAAGGCGGUUCUCUGGGCAUUACCUGACGCUGAGGAGCGAAAGUGUGGGGAGCGAACGGG